CUGUUAAAUUUAUGACAAAAGUCAUCUAUUAUUUCGUUGAGUUGCUUGUUUUCUGAUCCUUCCUGUGGACGGAAUACAAGAAGUGAAUUACAAUACACGCUUCUUUGUCCAUCUUGGAACAGCUGAUAUACGUUAUUAUAGAUUCUGCUAGAUGUAAAAUGGAAACUGGAAUUUCCAUUCAUGUUCUUUUUUUCACAUGUCUGCAAAUGAAAAUCUUAUUCUCUUAGGUUAUUGAAGGGAACCAGAACCCAUGAUCCAAAGUCUAAUAUAAUCUCCUAGGCUAUUGAAUGGAACAAGAAGUCAUGUACAUGAGAUAUCAUUCUUACACUUUUGACAAAUAUCUCUACUUCUUAAGACGUGCUUUAUCUUGGAUUCUCUGUGAUUUGCUCUUUAAAAUCAUAUUUUUUUGCCAUUUGCGUGUUUGCAGUAGUUUUUGUUCCUGGACCUGAGAAUACCUUCCUCAACCAUCGUGCUAACUAACUUUAUGAUGUUUAAAUGAGAGAUAAUUAUCUUGUUCUUAAAAUUUGUGUCGUUUCUCUUGUUGGUAUGCCAUUAACCAUUGUAAAAACAAUAAAGAGUGAUGCCACGAGCUAUAAUUAUAUCCACUUAAUUUUUACAAAUUUCUCUGUUCUCUCUCCUUUUGGUUUUUGCAUUCUCUCUCUGCAUUCUUCUCUACAAGCAUUUAUACAUAGUUCUUGUUAGAUCUCUCAGUUUCAUUACCAAGAAAACACCCACAAAAGAAAAUCACAGACUAGUACUGAUAAAAUUUAACCUGUGCUACUUUCAGAAGGAAAAAACCAUAGAUGAGAGCAAAGCCUUAUAUGUGGUGGAGGAUGAAGAGCAAUUUAUUGAAGAUUGGUCUUAAUUCAUGUAUCCAAAAUGCCAUCCAAAUUAUAAUUUUCAAGUAGGAUUGGGAAAGGUUGGGUUUUAAGAUAUUGGGCUUGCAACAGAACCUCUUAAGACUUACUAUUCUGAAUUAAGAUUAGAUUCAUUAGUGGCUCUUAGAAGGUAUAUAUUUUCUCAAUAAUUCGUUGAUUUGCCAAGCUCAAUCCUAGCGUAAAUGGAACCAAUACUGACAAUUAGUUUGUUUAUUUUUUUCUGUUACAAAAACCUAUUCUUUUCUUGGUUCUAGCGUACUGAAA